rnacentral:rRNA from 1 species
AUAACGCUAGCUACAGGCUUAACACAUGCAAGUCGAGGGGCAGCAUUUCAGUUUGCUUGCAAACUGGAGAUGGCGACCAGCGCACGGGUGAGUAACACGUAUCCAACCUGCCGAUAACUCGGGGAUAGCCUUUCGAAAGAAAGAUUAAUACCCGAUGGUAUAAUUAGACCGCAUGGUCUUGUUAUUAAAGAAUUUCGGUCAUCGAUGGGGAUGCGUUCCAUUAGGUUGUUGGCGGGGUAACGGCCCACCAAGCCUUCGAUGGAUAGGGGUUCUGAGAGGAAGGUCCCCCACAUUGGAACUGAGACACGGUCCAAACUCCUACGGGAGGCAGCAGUGAGGAAUAUUGGUCAAUGGACGAGAGUCUGAACCAGCCAAGUAGCGUGAAGGAUGACUGCCCUAUGGGUUGUAAACUUCUUUUAUACGGGAAUAAAGUGAGGCACGUGUGCCUUUUUGUAUGUACCGUAUGAAUAAGGAUCGGCUAACUCCGUGCCAGCAGCCGCGGUAAUACGGAGGAUCCGAGCGUUAUCCGGAUUUAUUGGGUUUAAAGGGAGCGUAGGCGGACGCUUAAGUCAGUUGUGAAAGUUUGCGGCUCAACCGUAAAAUUGCAGUUGAUACUGGGUGUCUUGAGUACAGUAGAGGCAGGCGGAAUUCGUGGUGUAGCGGUGAAAUGCUUAGAUAUCACGAAGAACUCCGAUUG